AAAGUCNGUGCGGACCUUUUUAAAAGCUUGCUUUUAAAAGGUUAGCGGCGGACGGGUGAGUAACACGUGGGCAACCUGCCUGUAAGAUCGGGAUAACGCCGGGAAACCGGGGCUAAUACCAGAUAGUUUUUUCCUCCGCAUGGAGGAAAAAGGAAAGGCGGCUUCGGCUGCCACUUACAGAUGGGCCCGCGGCGCAUUAGCUAGUUGGCGGGGUAAUGGCCCACCAAGGCAACGAUGCGUAGCCGACCUGAGAGGGUGAUCGGCCACAUUGGGACUGAGACACGGCCCAAACUCCUACGGGAGGCAGCAGUAGGGAAUCUUCCGCAAUGGACGAAAGUCUGACGGAGCGACGCCGCGUGAGUGAAGAAGGCCUUCGGGUCGUAAAACUCUGUUGCCGGGGAAGAACAAGUGCCGUUCGAACAGGGCGGCGCCUUGACGGUACCCGGCCAGAAAGCCACGGCUAACUAC
rnacentral:rRNA from 1 species